UUCAACCCUGUGAGAAACAAGAGCUGCGCGUAAAAUCGAGAAAGAGAGCAAAACAAAGUCGAAAGUACAUACGUACAUGCAUACAGAGCUAAUUGGGAAGAAAACACGGUUCGCGCCAUUUCAUAAUCCACAAACUAAAAAAAAGUAUAUUGGAUUCGUAACGCGUAAUUAAUAAUUUCCGGGUUUUGUCUCAGGCCAACAGAAUCUGUGUGACCACUUUGUUUGUAGAGACGCUUGGCGUGCCUCAUGUCAAUGUGUGUUUGUGUACCUGUGUUUAUUCACAUUUCGUUAUUAAAGGCACAAUAAAAUAUGGAUACUGAUACAGAAGAUGAUUCUGCAAACUCCAGCACUACUUCCAGUGAUGUAAUCAAAAGUCUGUUGGAAAUAGCAAAAAGCCGACCCGCCACCAAUGUGGCCAAAGCAAUUUUGGCUUACCAUGAGACACCGGAGCUGUCAAAUCUGCUUCUUGUCAUCGAGGAAGUGUCAAAGAACACAGAUUUUGCAACCGAUCUGCAGUUGUCGCUAUGCUAUUAUCUGGAAGAAUUUUUGAAUCAAUGGUGCAACUCGAAUGUGGCGCCUCGCACAAAGUGGGCUACCGUCGGCAACGUGCUGCAAUACAGCAUCAAAAUCUAUGAAAUCCGUGUGGAUCUCAUGCACCAGGAGGUGCUGAAACAGGUAUCCAAACUGCUCUUAGUCGAUCCCAGCAAGGAUGACAGCAACAAUCAGAAUGGCGGCAAUGAGGCUAACAAGCCGGAGGAGCCGCGCAAGCGCCGCACUAAGAAGCUCAUUCAAACGGAAAUCGAUGCCUUUUCUUAUAAAUUGCAACCUCGAAAGUUCAAAACUAUGUCCGAGGAGAAGCGCUUUAGUCGCGUCGGCUUUGAGACAAAUAAGAAUCGAAAUCGUACAAUUGAGCACAUGUAUCAGGAUCAUACGCCGUCCCAUCUGUGGAAGUAUGCUCCCAUUGUGGAGCCAGGCAAUGCCUACGAGCACGAUGAGAAAAAGAACUACAAGCUGUUCACAUAUCUACCCGAGCCGAGAUAUAAUACGCUACUGCCGGACAUCCAGUUUGAGCGUCUCAAUUUGAUCAAAGAAUAUGUGAAUGCGAAUCAUGAUGUCUGCAACACUCUCAACGAGAACAUGAGCAACCGGGAGUAUCUGGAUGAGUACAUAGCUCUGGAGAAUCAAAUGCUCGCCUCUCGCUUCGGGGAGUUAAGUAUACAGAAACGACCGCGGGAUGGGCUGAAUGACGAGCAGGCCAAGCGAAUAUGCUUUGAUCAGCAAAAUCAGCAGAAACGCUCCAUGGAGAGUCCCGUAGAGAAUUCUAAACGAAUAAGACUGAGUGAGGAGUGGGACGAUAGCUAUGAUAUCAACAUGGAGUUAGACGAAACUGGUGCUCCUGUCACAGAGUUGGGCGAUAAGCUAAAUUCACUGAUGCUCUCUGAUGCGUCAGAUGUGAAGCUCAAUGACAGCCAGUUGGACGAAUGCGUGUUGAGCAGUACGCUAGCCUCGAAUGAGCCUAGCUGCUUGAACAACACGUCACAGCUGGAACUGUCUGUUGAUAAGAUUGAUAAGGACGACAGCAAUGAUGCUGGCAUUGGCAUGGAGGAUCUAAUUAUUCCGUUGGUAACAGCUCAAUCUUUUGAUGACGAGGGUAUUGUUCUUACAGAUAAUAUAGAGGAGCUUCAGCGUCUGCAGUCGCUGUCGCCCAAGGUAAUAAUACAGGACAUACUGCCCGGUGUGCCCGACAAGGCCAACCUGAGUGUGCGCGUCGACUCCGAAAUGCUUGCCCUGGGUGGCAUCAAUGAGGUGCUCGAGGAAAUUGUGAAUGCGCCACGUGCGGUUCACUAUCCGAUCGAGCUAAAUAUUUUUCAGUUACCCAAGAAACCACUACUCAGACAAUGUCUCUUUAAACUAACCAGCGAAUUUAAGUUAUUUAAACAAGCGCGCAUUCCAGUCAGACGAGUGGCUGAGCCCAAACCACCAAGAAUUGUGCCUGUUGUCAACCAUUCAGAAUUGGAAUUUGAUUCAGAAUUUAACUUUCUUGGCUUCAGACGUUCCACGUAUGAUUCUGGCAUAGAUCAGGAGGAGAUUAGAGCGGAAAUGGUCCAUUCGCCAUCGGAUGAUGGCAUUAUCGUUGAUGUGGCCGUUGAUGAGCCACUGGACUUAAACGCAACCGAAACUGCCCUCCAGUCUGGUGAAGCUCAACAAGUAAGAGAUGUUGAGGAAUUGGAAAAGGACCUGACAUUGCUGGAAAUUCCAAUGGACACCAUCGACACAACUUUAAAUAAAACGGAAGCAAAUGGGGACUUAGGUGCCGACGGGACGUUGCCUGAAAUGCCACUGGACACCUUGGACACGACAACAGCAUUAAAUGAAGCGAAUUUGGAUGCCAUCGAGACAUUGCCUGAAAUUCCAUUGGACUUACAAGCAUUGGAUGAAACAGAGAACACAAGAGUGUUAACACAGGAUAGUGGCUUAGGUGCCACUCUCGUGGACGCAGACCGCGAAGGCUGCGACAAAGCUAAUACAGACUGGGAUGAUGACUACACCUACAAUAGUAUUGAUGAAGAAACUGAUGCUAGGAUUUUUGAGUGGCAUCGCCGAAUGGGGCCCAUACUGGAAAGGGCACAUGAGCGUCAGAAUUUCAGCAUAGAGGAUCUAAAGAAAGAUCUUAUAGACAAAUGCGUCGAACAAGGAGGAGAAGCGACGUUCGCGGAUGUUGUGCGGGAUAAGGAACAAGGCGCAUACUGUCGCUAUUUGCUGGCAAUGCUGCUGCUGAUAAAUGAUGGAAAUGUGGAGCCGCCAAAUUCCGCACAUAAUAAGGAGGAACCAAUUGACUUGCAUCAACUCAAGAUGAAAUUGAUCAGCACAAAAUUAAAACAAAUAAAUCCCGAGGACGACAUUGGCAACAUGAAUAAUGCCAACGAGUCUGAUACGACAACCAGCACAGCACCAGCAGCACCAUCACAUACACCAACACAACCAGCUAAAGCUGUGCGUCGCAAGUCAUCUGAGUCUGACGCGUUUGGACCAACAAAUGUAAAAAUAGUGCGUCUUAUCAAACCUGUGCCAAAGGCAAGCUCACGUCCAGAUGAUGCAGACUCUGGCAUAUCAUCGCUGUCGGCCUCCAUAGCGUCCACGUACUCCUCAGUCACGUAGCGGAGGCCGUAGGGAUAGCUGCUGCCGUGUGUCCUCUGUGUGCAUGCUUAUGUUGAUAUUUGUGUUUAGUCUAGUCUAGUCUGUCGGGCAAAGAUUAAUACUGACGUUUGUAGAUCAUAUGUAUGCAUCAGAGGAGAUUGCCCCGACGUCUGCCCUUUCCAUGGGCAUUAAAGAAAAUUAAG
rnacentral:misc_RNA from 1 species